AUUGAACGCUGGCGGCAUGCCUUACACAUGCAAGUCGAACGGCAGCACGGGUGCUUGCACCUGGUGGCGAGUGGCGAACGGGUGAGUAAUACAUCGGAACGUACCUUAUCGUGGGGGAUAACGCAGCGAAAGCUGUGCUAAUACCGCAUACGCCCUGAGGGGGAAAGCGGGGGAUCGAAAGACCUCGCGCGAUUAGAGCGGCCGAUGCCUGAUUAGCUUGUUGGUGGGGGAAAAGCCCACCAAGGGGACGAUCAGUAGCUGGUCUGAGAGGACGAUCAGCCACACUGGGACUGAGACACGGCCCAGACUCCUACGGGAGGCAGCAGUGGGGAAUAUUGGACAAUGGGGGCAACCCUGAUCCAGCCAUGCCGCGUGUGUGAAGAAGGCCUUCGGGUUGUAAAGCACUUUAGGUCGGGAGGAAGGUUCGCUGGCUAAUAUCCAGCGGAAUUGACGUUACCGACAGAAUAAGCACCGGCUAACUCCGUGCCAGCAGCCGCCGUAA
rnacentral:rRNA from 1 species